rnacentral:tRNA from 1 species
UCCCAGGUAGCUCAGUGGUAAAGAAUCUGCCUGCCAAGCAGGAGACUUGGGUUCAAUUCCUGCAUCGGGAA